rnacentral:rRNA from 1 species
GGGCAGCAUGGUCUUAGCUUGCUAAGGCCGAUGGCGACCGGCGCACGGGUGAGUAACACGUAUCCAACCUGCCGUCUACUCUUGGACAGCCUUCUGAAAGGAAGAUUAAUACAAGAUGGCAUCAUGAGUCCGCAUGUUCACAUGAUUAAAGGUAUUCCGGUAGACGAUGGGGAUGCGUUCCAUUAGAUAGUAGGCGGGGUAACGGCCCACCUAGUCUUCGAUGGAUAGGGGUUCUGAGAGGAAGGUCCCCCACAUUGGAACUGAGACACGGUCCAAACUCCUACGGGAGGCAGCAGUGAGGAAUAUUGGUCAAUGGGCGAGAGCCUGAACCAGCCAAGUAGCGUGAAGGAUGACUGCCCUAUGGGUUGUAAACUUCUUUUAUAAAGGAAUAAAGUCGGGUAUGGAUACCCGUUUGCAUGUACUUUAUGAAUAAGGAUCGGCUAACUCCGUGCCAGCAGCCGCGGUAAUACGGAGGAUCCGAGCGUUAUCCGGAUUUAUUGGGUUUAAAGGGAGCGUAGAUGGAUGUUUAAGUCAGUUGUGAAAGUUUGCGGCUCAACCGUAAAAUUGCAGUUGAUACUGGAUAUCUUGAGUGCAGUUGAGGCGGGCGGAAUUCGUGGUGUAGCGGUGAAAUGCUUAGAUAUCACGAAGAACUCCGAUUGCGAA